UGCGGAAGGAUCAUUACA
rnacentral:rRNA from 1 species